rnacentral:rRNA from 1 species
AGUAACGCGUGGGAAUCUACCGUGCCCUACGGAAUAGCUCCGGGAAACUGGAAUUAAUACCGUAUACGCCCUUCGGGGGAAAGAUUUAUCGGGGUAUGAUGAGCCCGCGUUGGAUUAGCUAGUUGGUGGGGUAAAGGCCUACCAAGGCGACGAUCCAUAGCUGGUCUGAGAGGAUGAUCAGCCACAUUGGGACUGAGACACGGCCCAAACUCCUACGGGAGGCAGCAGUGGGGAAUAUUGGACAAUGGGCGCAAGCCUGAUCCAGCCAUGCCGCGUGAGUGAUGAAGGUCUUAGGAUUGUAAAGCUCUUUCACCGGAGAAGAUAAUGACGGUAUCCGGAGAAGAAGCCCCGGCUAACUUCGUGCCAGCAGCCGCGGUAAUACGAAGGGGGCUAGCGUUGUUCGGAAUUACUGGGCGUAAAGCGCACGUAGGCGGAUAUUUAAGUCAGGGGUGAAAUCCCGCAGCUCAACUGCGGAACUGCCUUUGAUACUGGGUAUCUUGAGUAUGGAAGAGGUUAGUGGAAUUGCGAGUGUAAGGUGAAAUUCGUAGAUAUUC